UACGUAGGGCGCAAGCGUUAUCCGGAAUUAUUGGGCGUAAAGAGCUCGUAGGCGGUUUGUCGCGUCUGCUGUGAAAGACCGGGGCUCAACUCCGGUUCUGCAGUGGGUACGGGCAGACUAGAGUGCAGUAGGGGAGACUGGAAUUCCUGGUGUAGCGGUGAAAUGCGCAGAUAUCAGGAGGAACACCGAUGGCGAAGGCAGGUCUCUGGGCUGUAACUGACGCUGAGGAGCGAAAGCCAGGGGAGCGAACGGG
rnacentral:rRNA from 1 species